rnacentral:tRNA from 1 species
GGAGGAGUGUCCGAGUGGCCGAUGGAGCACGCUUGGAAAGCGUGUAAACAUGAAAAUGUUUCGUGGGUUCGAAUCCCACCUCCUCCGCCA